UUUUCGGUUGAUCCCGCCGGACGUAGAAUGGAGGCUUGCUUCCCGCCCUGUUUGUAGGGAGGUCAUUAUGACCGCAUCCCGUUCUCCCAUCACUCGCUACGCUCUCCCGGCUCGCUGCUCCCGCAUCGAACGAGAUGUUNCGUCGACGACAUGCGACUUGGGCGACGCGGUGUGCCGCGUGUGCCGUCGCCGUGUCGGCCAUUCUUGCCGGCUACGCAAACGAUGCUCGCCCCGCGAUCGCCGCGGAGGAAGCGCGGGCCGAAUCGUCCGUCGAACGGCGAGCGAAAGCGCUGCGAUUGGUGGAGCAACUCGGGGACGAUCGGUUUGACAUUCGCGAACAAGCGACGACCUCGCUUUUGAAGAUGGGACUUUCCGCCCGCGCCGAGCUCGAGCAAGCCACUCGCCAUCUUGAUCGCGAAGUGCGCUAUCGAGCGGAACGCAUCCUGCUGAUCGUGCGCAAGAUCGACCUCGAACAGCGGCUCGACGCCUUCAUCGAGGAAGUCGGCAAGCCGGGCGAUUACGACCUGCCCGCUUGGCCGCUCGUGAAGAAAGAGUUGGGAGAUAAGAAAGAAACUCGACGCUUGUUCGCGUUGAUGGUGCG
rnacentral:rRNA from 1 species